rnacentral:rRNA from 1 species
CCUACGGGAGGCAGCAGUGAGGAAUAUUGAGCAAUGGGCGAAAGCCUGACUCAGCAACGCCGCGUGGAUGAUGAAGGCCUUCGGGUUGUAAAAUCCUUUUCUGGGGAACGAUAAUGACGGUACCUCAGGAAUAAGUCCCGGCUAACUACGUGCCAGCAGCCGCGGUAAAACGUAGGGGGCGAGCGUUAUCCGGAUUUAUUGGGCGUAAAGCGCACGUAGGCGGCGCUGAAAGUUGGACGUGAAAGCUCCUGGCUUAACUGGGAGAGGUCGUUCAAUACUACAGUGCUUGAGGUUGGAAGAGGAGAGCGGAAUUCCCGGUGUAGUGGUGGAAUGCGUAGAUAUCGGGAGGAACUCCAGUGGCGAAAGCGGCUCUCUGGUCCACACCUGACGCUGAGGUGCGAAAGCGUGGGGAGCGAACGGGAUUAGAUACCCCGGUAGUCCACGCUGUAAACGAUGGAUACUAGGUGUAGGGGGUCAUUUACCCCCUCUGUGCCGAAGCUAACGCGUUAAGCAUCCCGCCUGGGAACUACGAGCGCAAGCUUAAAACUCAAAGGAAUUGACGG